rnacentral:lncRNA from 1 species
AAAAAAAAAAACAAACAAACAAAAAAAACAACAUGAGUUCAAAUCCUGAAAUGAGUUCAAAUUCUGACCCUGCUCUUAAUAGAUGUACGACCUUUGAUGCCUCAGUUUUGCUCAUUGGUAAAAUGGAGAUAGUAAUAUUAUUUAUCUCAUAUGGCUGUUUUGAAAGUUAGAUGUGUCUGUAUAGUGCUCAGCACAGAGCCUAGAACAGAAUAAGUAUCAGUAAAUAUUAGCUAUUACUAACUGGUAUGCUUAUGCCCCACUCUCUGGUAGCACUUACUGUAGAAUUGUGGCCAGGGAGGCAAGAAGUAAGAUAAUAGCUUGUCAAUGUUUCUGAGUACACAGCACUUAGGUCUCUAUUACAGCAGGCCAGUUGGGUGGUCAAGUACAUCCUUGGACUGCAACACAACAUGUGCACAGAUGGAAACUAGGAUUGAUUAACUCCUGAGCAUUCUGCAUUGGAAUUAAGGGGGAUGAUUAUUGGGUCUCCCCAAGUACACAAUUCCAUAUGAAUCUCUGUGGCUGUUAUUAAACUCUGGAUUGGAGGCUAGUUUCACCCAGGCGAUGAUAGAAAUUGGGGGUUGGGGGUUGGGUGUUGGGAGCUGGAGCAUGGAAUGUGUGAGACAGGAAAACAGUAUGGGUAGGGACGAAAAGCCAUUGAUAAAAACAGCCGUUUGCCCCCCUUCCCUUCCCUGCUUAGAUUCUGGAAGACUCAGAGCUCUCUGGUCUCUGCUGCUGUGUUGCUGCCUGUUAGCGUGAUUGUCGCUGUUGCCAGGGGAAGCCUGGCUGAUUGAAUCACACGCCGUGACGUCAGACACUGCUGUGUGGCUGAGCCCACCGAAUUCCAGACAGAAUCUAGCAGGAAACACAUCACUUCUUGAAUACCAAAAAUACCAGCCUUACAAACUAAGACAUGAAAUGGUGGCUUGUAGCACCAAGUUUCAUUUGUAAGUCCUUGUCCCCACUCCUAGGAUUCAGGGACUACCCAGCACCUCUUAUGGCUCCUCAUAGGAAGUGACUCUUGGAUUUCUGGCCCAUCACUCAUCCUCAUUCCUGUCCCCAUGUCCCCAUCUCGUGUGUUCUUUCUCAGGAUCCUGCUGGAUGGCCAGCUGGCUUUGCUAAUUUUGAAAGUGUGGGAAAGGUUCAGAUGCUCUUGUUGGUCUAAGAAGUGUAUGCAGAAACAUUAAGACACAUCCAGUCUGAGUCCACAGGAAGUUGGCAGCAGUCCCGCAGGGAGUAUUGUGAGCAUCUGUUAUAUUUAGGGGUCUGUUUUAACAAGUAACUUCAUGGCAACUUCUAUAAUAUUAAAAUUAUCAGGGUUGGGGGGCAUUGUUUUGGACUAAACUUGUGUACUAGGCUCUAACAGAUCAGAAAAACCAAAAUGGAGUCCCUCUUGCUACAUGGCAUGUGGUAAUCAAACUGAAACUUUAAGGAAGCCAGUAGAUCCCAAAACAGACCAUUUUCUUUCUCCUCAAAACAGGAGAUUCCAGCAUAAUAAGGAAACCCCCUCAGCUUUAACCUUUACAAAAAGGUAACCUGAAGUAACCUGAUGUUAACCCAUCAGCCUUUCCCUCUAUUUUUCAUUUUCCUUAUUCCCACCUUAUAAAACUCACUGUUAGGCUAUUUUCCAGUGGGAUUUGAGACCAGAUAUGUCCACUUACAACAGUGACAGAAUGAUAUCAAUGCCUAAAGCUUUGGUCAACCUCUCAAAAUUGUUAAAUUAAGUUUAGCCUAGGCCGG